rnacentral:lncRNA from 1 species
UAUGAGAUACUAUACUCAAUGUCACUUCUGGCAUCUUGUAUUUUGUUGGUGAUUCAUUGGUUCCUGUCAGCAUUGAUAAAAACUGUCUGGAGGGUGCCAAAGUUCUCCAAUGGUUGAUAAGAAGUUUAUUCCGUUAGUGGUGUGCCCACACUUUCUAUAAUUGAUUAGGUCUAUUCUGGCCUCUGUAUAUUCCAUUAUGGCCAUUCCUGGUUUCUCAUGAAUUCCUUAUAAUGCAUUUGUUUUAAACAAUUGUUUCUCUUAGGGAUCGUUUGGUUGGACUCAUUAGCAAAUAUAAUUCAGCAUAAACUUCCGAAUAAAUAGUAUAUCAUUUGUUGGCCACGUUAGAAAAAGCAAUAUCCUCAUAACUAUGUAGCACUCAGUUAUCUGCACUACAUAGUCAAGGAUUAUGAUCUUUUGUUUGAUUCUAGCAUUUAUCUAUAUUGAAUAUUACACUAAUUGUAAUGUUCUACAGCAUUCUGCAGAUGAGUGAAUCCUUUUGGAAGAACUGCGUGAGAAGGUAAUGAUUGUCUAAAAGCUCAUUAACGUGUUAUUUCAACUUGGACUUGGAGUCUGUAACAACAGCAACUACAUACCCAGUGAAAUCCCGCAUGUACUUGGAGUCUGUAACUUGUUGAAUUAUCAAUUCCUAUCUGGACAAAUGAGGACAUCAACCUAUCUUGAUUUCGAGCAGGAAUU